rnacentral:rRNA from 1 species
UACGGGGGGAGCAAGCGUUGUUCGGAUUUACUGGGCGUAAAGGGCGCGUAGGCGGCCACCGCAAGUCGGUUGUGAAAUCUCCGGGCUUAACUCGGAAAGGUCAACUGAUACUGUGCGACUAGAGUGCGGAAGGGGCAACUGGAAUUCUCGGUGUAGCGGUGAAAUGCGUAGAUAUCGAGAGGAACACCUGCGGCGAAGGCGGGUUGCUGGGCCGACACUGACGCUGAUGCGCGAAAGCCAGGGAGCGAACGGG